UCUUUUCCUUAUCAAUACCACCAAUAUCUUUUACAAAUUUUAGUGCUUAGUGUGUAUGUUUCAUUUUUAUAUUCACAUAUCACUUAACUUUGGCUUCUGUUGGAACAUAUUCUUUUUUAAGGCUUGCCCUUGAGUUAUCUUAUCAUGCCCUAUUCCUAGGAAUUAUUUUGUAAUAUGGUACAUCAUUAGAGUAGAUAAUAUAUGAUGUUUCUAUACUAUUAAUUGUAUGUCAGCUUGCAUCUUUAGCAAGUGGAUGGUACAUGUUUUACCAUAAGCAGCGAUGAAAAAGACAAUUAGAGUUUCAAACUUUAAUUCAUGUAGCUCCCUACAAUUUCCGACCACUGGCCUUCAGAUAUGAACAGUGAACUAAGGAUAACUUUGGUUAUGUGUCUUUUUGUGGUGUUUUUUUUUUUUUCCAAGUUUUUGUUGAAUCUUCCCUCUUCAAAUUGUUGAAAAUACAGUUGUCUUUACCAUUAAACCAUUUGGUGUCUUUAGGAAUUUGGGAUAUUGUUGAGACGAUUUUCUCCAAGGUUUUGUGGAGUGUUACGAAUUUGUAUCACAACUAGGAUUUCCAUGAUAGAGGAUAAUAAUUAGAAGUAUUAUCACUGCCUCUGUUAGCUUGAUUCCCAAUGUAAAGAGAUCCCUAGUUUGAAGCGUUCCAAACCAGUGGGGCAGGCAGGAAGGUUUUUUCUCUUUAUUUGCAGGGCCCUUUUGUAGACAGAUAAUAGGUGCAACUCUGCUUGCAAAUCAGAGCAUAGAGGGACGCAUGAAAUCUAAUGCCAAAGAGUGUAAAUCAAUGGAGCUGUGAGAAGAUGUUUUAACGGGUUUCACCAAAAGGAUGAAUCUUCCGUGCCCUUGUUUAGGGUAGAAAAUGCCCUUUAUAGAGUUUUGUUGCAUCAUGAAAAAUAUUGUCAUUCAUGGUCCAGUUUUUGGAAGGGAAAGACCCCAUAUUUUUAAUAUUAAAUUUGUAUAUAAAUAUAAUAUCAUUCUCUUUUUGAGGACUGAAGAUCAAAGUUGGAAACAUCUUGAGGUUAUUCUUAUGAUGAAUAUGGGUAAGAGUCAAUAGCAUUAUGGUGGCAGUUGAUUAUCACUAAGAGGAAAGCUCUUACUUUAGAGUAACAGGAUGCACAUAUGUUACUUGCUUUAUUUGUUUUGCAGGACAAAUAUAUGGUACUUAUUUUGUCUUAUUGUGUUAGGGCUAUGAUUUUUUAUUUUUUGUUUUUGGCUUAGUUUUCUGAUUUUGCCUUGUAAUCAUGUUUCUUUUUUCUUUUUGUUUUUUAGUUUGCUUGUCAUAAUAUUUUUUUUUUGGAAAUUCAUAGCAUGGCUCAUAAAUUUGAUGCUAUUACAGUGGCCUUGUACCAUGUUGUAUCUUUUCCUUUCAAUGGGUGUCAUGCAACAAAGAUAGGGGCCUUCUUGUCAUUCCAAAUAUGGCUGGAAGUAUGGGCUGUGUCUCUUGAUUUGGAUCAAUCCAAUGCUAUACAAUAAUUAUA